rnacentral:rRNA from 1 species
UCUCAGUUCGGAUUGUAGUCUGCAACCCGACUACAUGAAGCUGGAAUCGCUAGUAAUCGCGAAUCAGAAUGUCGCGGUGAAUACGUUCCCGGGCCUUGUACACACCGCCCGUCACACCAUGAGAGUCGGGAACACCCGAAGUCCGUAGUCUAACCGCAAGGAGGGCGCGGCCGAAGGUGGGUCCGGUAAUUGGGGUGAAGUCGUAACAAGGUAGC